GACGAACGCUGGCGGCGUGCUUAACACAUGCAAGUCGAACGGAAAGGCCCUGCUUUUGUGGGUUGCUCGAGUGGCGAACGGGUGAGUAACACGUGAGUAACCUGCCCUUGACUUUGGUAUAACUUCAGUAAACUGGGGCUAAUACCUGAUAGGAGCUCCUGCUGCAUGGUGGGGGUUGGAAAGUUUCGGCGGUUGGGGAUUGACUCGCGGCUUAUCAGCUUGUUGGUGGGGUAGUGGCUUACCAAGGCUUUGACGGGUAGCCGGCCUGAGAGGGUGACCGGCCACAUUGGGACUGAGAUACGGCUCAGACUGCUAUGGGAGGCAGCAGUGGGGAAUAUUACAAAAUGGGCGGAAGCCUGAUGCAGCAACGCCGCGUGCGGGAUGACGGCCUUCGGGUUGUAAACCGCUUUAGCCCGUGACGAAGCGUGAGUGACGGUAAUGGGUAAAGAAGCACCGGCUAACUACGUG
rnacentral:rRNA from 1 species